ensembl:lncRNA BTN2A3P butyrophilin subfamily 2 member A3, pseudogene
ACUUAGGGAAAUCUUGGGACACUGUGGAAGCCCAGAGAAUCUGAUCCCGGGUCCCACAACUUCACAUAUCGCGAGUAAGUGGGAGGCAAAGAAAAUUCUUUUUCUCCUCUUUUGGGACAGUUUGUGACUAGUAGUGCCUGUGCCCCUGGAAAGGUUGGAGACUUGGGGGACGACUGGAGAAUUGCCAUUUGAGGACCAAAGGAGAAAAGAAACUACACGCUAAUUCUAGAAGGCCUCCUGUCCCUGCCUGCUCUGGGUGCUCAUGGAACCAGCUGCUGCCCUGCACUUCUCCCGGCCAGCCUCCCUCCUCCUCCUCCUCAGCCUGUGUGCACUGGUCUCAGCCCAGGUCACUGUCGUGGGGCCCACUGAUCCCAUCCUGGCCAUGGUGGGAGAAAACACUACGUUACGAUGCUGUCUGUCACCCGAGGAAAAUGCUGAGGACAUGGAGGUGCGGUGGUUCCAGUCUCAGUUCUCCCCUGCAGUGUUUGUGUAUAAGGGUGGAAGAGAGAGAACAGAGGAGCAGAAGGAGGAGUACCGAGGGAGAACCACCUUUGUGAGCAAAGACAGCAGGGGCAGCGUGGCCCUGAUCAUACACAAUGUCACAGCCGAGGAUAACGGCAUCUACCAGUGUUACUUCCAAGAAGGCAGGUCCUGCAAUGAGGCCAUCCUGCACCUUGUGGUGGCAGACCAGCACAAUCCUCUUUCCUGGAUCCCCAUUCCGCAGGGACACUCUCCCUAUGAAAAGAAGAUUCCAGGGAAAAAUCCUUCCUCCUGCACAAGGGCCACCAUGAGUGAGUUUGCCCUGCUAAGCCGUGGGCUUGACUUCUUGAGAAGCACAUGCAGAACUCAGUUGAGGCCAUGAGCCGGGGAAAAUGGUGAAUCUCGGAAGAGAAGUCCUAUGCCUGCCUUAGCACUGAGCUGUGCACUUCUGAGAGUGAGAGGAGACACCAUCAAUAAUUGUCUUGGGACAACUGGAAUAAACAGUGACUGCCCAGAGAACUACGAUAUUUGAAAUCUUAUUUCUUGAUGAAUAUUCAUCCUGACUUCUUUCCUGAAAUGCUGUUUGCAAAGAGAGUGACUUAUAUGACUGGACUCUGAGCCCGUCAUUGAAAUGAGAGACCACGAGGACGGGGGCAUCCAGCUGGAGUGCAUAUCUGGAGGGUGGUACCCAAAGCCCCUCACAGUGUGGAGGGACCCCUACGGUGAGGUCGUGCCUGCCCUGAAGGAGGUCUCCACCCCUGACGCAGACAGCCUCUUCAUGGUCACCACAGCUGUGAUCAUCAGAGACAAGUCUGUGAGGAACGUGUCCUGCUCUAUCAAUGACACCCUGCUCGGCCAGAAGAAAGAAAGUGUCAUUUUUAUUCCAGAGCAACUUCUGAAGAAUUGCAUACGUUUAGCCUUUCCUGAACUACUCCAUGUACAAUUUGUGUUCUGCUCAUUUAGCAGCAUCUCAUGACAUUCAACCUCUGUCUGUCCCUUGCAGGAUGGAGAAGAACAUUCUUACAUGCUGGAGCCAGUGGGGUCACGGUGCCUGAAGAGGGCUGGACACUUCACAGAGCAGGGACCCACCACAGCCCACAGAAUCAGUUCCCCAGUCUCACAGCCAUGGAAACAAGCCCUGGCCAUCUCAGCAGCCACUGCACAAUGCCUCUGGUGGAAGACACGCCCUCCUCCCCUCUGGUCACACAAGAGAACAUCUUCCAGCUGCCUCUUUCACACCCACUCCAGACCUCAGCCCCUGUUCACCUCCUCAUUAGGUGUGGCUUUAGUAGUUCCUUUGGUUGUAACUAUGGGAUGGAAUCCAGGCAUAGGGAACUAGUUGUUCCACAGCUCCCAGCCAGGAAGAAAGUGUGAGAAGCUGAUUGGUAGUGAACCUGCUGUUUAACAUCACAGUGACUACAUUGAACCCAGUAUGCCAGUUGGCACCAGAUGCUGUGGACUUGGAAUGAGGCCAAGAGGAGUCGCCAGGAUGUGAGAGGAGAGAGGAAUCCACAGGACCACCAGAGGGUGAGUGAACCAGAUAUGCAGGUCAGAGAUAGACGAAGUGGAACCAGAGAGCUGGGAGGGACCAAGGUUGUAAGGGUGCUUAAGCCCCACCAUAACAGCUAAGGAGUCCCAGGAGAUGAUGGCUCAUUUCCACCCAACCCCAGGAUUUCCACAGCACACACCCACAGGCCUGGACCUGGGACGAAGAUGAAUGAAGAAUAUGGACAUGUGGAUGUGGUUUGGCUCACGUGUCCCUGCAAUAAACAAGGAGUCAGUACUCAGUCCUUGGGUGUGGUUGAGGCUUGAGGUCCUGAUUGAGCAAGGCAGUACUGGACAAGGUCUACAUCAGCAUUCAAGUUCAAUGGGGGGCACUAGUGGCUUCAAACUUCCUGGUCUAAUUAUGUCUUUAGACACUUAAUAACUACUGAGGGCCUUGAGGAGCUCUUGUUUAUUUGGGUUGAUAUUUGUUAAUAUUUAUGGCAUUUGACAUUAAAACAGAAAAUGUUAAAA